rnacentral:piRNA from 1 species
UCACUUACCUCUAUUCAUGCC